rnacentral:rRNA from 1 species
AAAUUGAAGAGUUUGAUCAUGGCUCAGAUUGAACGCUGGCGGCAGGCCUAACACAUGCAAGUCGAGCGGUAGCACAGAGAGCUUGCUCUCGGGUGACGAGCGGCGGACGGGUGAGUAAUGUCUGGGAAACUGCCUGAUGGAGGGGGAUAACUACUGGAAACGGUAGCUAAUACCGCAUAACGUCGCAAGACCAAAGUGGGGGACCUUCGGGCCUCAUGCCAUCAGAUGUGCCCAGAUGGGAUUAGCUAGUAGGUGGGGUAAUGGCUCACCUAGGCGACGAUCCCUAGCUGGUCUGAGAGGAUGACCAGCCACACUGGAACUGAGACACGGUCCAGACUCCUACGGGAGGCAGCAGUGGGGAAUAUUGCACAAUGGGCGCAAGCCUGAUGCAGCCAUGCCGCGUGUAUGAAGAAGGCCUUCGGGUUGUAAAGUACUUUCAGCGAGGAGGAAGGCGUUAAGGUUAAUAACCUUAGCGAUUGACGUUACUCGCAGAAGAAGCACCGGCUAACUCCGUGCCAGCAGCCGCGGUAAUACGGAGGGUGCAAGCGUUAAUCGGAAUUACUGGGCGUAAAGCGCACGCAGGCGGUCUGUCAAGUCGGAUGUGAAAUCCCCGGGCUCAACCUGGGAACUGCAUUCGAAACUGGCAGGCUAGAGUCUUGUAGAGGGGGGUAGAAUUCCAGGUGUAGCGGUGAAAUGCGUAGAGAUCUGGAGGAAUACCGGUGGCGAAGGCGGCCCCCUGGACAAAGACUGACGCUCAGGUGCGAAAGCGUGGGGAGCAAACAGGAUUAGAUACCCUGGUAGUCCACGCCGUAAACGAUGUCGACUUGGAGGUUGUGCCCUUGAGGCGUGGCUUCCGGAGCUAACGCGUUAAGUCGACCGCCUGGGGAGUACGGCCGCAAGGUUAAAACUCAAAUGAAUUGACGGGGGCCCGCACAAGCGGUGGAGCAUGUGGUUUAAUUCGAUGCAACGCGAAGAACCUUACCUACUCUUGACAUCCAGAGAACUUAGCAGAGAUGCUUUGGUGCCUUCGGGAACUCUGAGACAGGUGCUGCAUGGCUGUCGUCAGCUCGUGUUGUGAAAUGUUGGGUUAAGUCCCGCAACGAGCGCAACCCUUAUCCUUUGUUGCCAGCG